rnacentral:SRP_RNA from 1 species
GCUGGGGGUUGUGGCGUGCCCCUGUAAUCCAGCUGCCUGGAGGCCUGGGCUAGACGGGCGGGUUGAGGUUGGGAGUUCUGUCCAUUGCCGACCUAUGUUGAUCGGGUGUCCGCGCUAAGCUGGGCGUCGAUAUGGUGACCCCAGGUGACCCCGGGGCGACCGGGUGUAGGAAAAAAUGUCCCCGGAAAAAAUGGCCCCGGAACAAAUGGCCCCGGAAAAAAAGUCCCCGGACAAAAUGUCCCCGGAAAAAAAGGCCCCAGGU